UAGGCUUCAAUAAUGAUGAAAUGUUUUUAGCAGUGUAGAACUACUGAUAGUUAUUGAGGUACAAACUGAAAUAUUUUAUUUUACUAUUUCUAUUGCCAUGUAACUACUUGGUGGUUUCGUAGAUAUAGGCAUCACUAUUAGGCCAAACUAAAAUGUAUAAAUAAUAACAAUAUGAUUCAAAUAAAUGAAAUUUCCCUGACAAUAAAAAUUAUAUAUAAUCGUAUAUAGCUUAUCAAUUCAAAAUAUCGCACAAAUGUUGUUUUUUUUUUCCAAUUAUACUGUGAACUAGGGUGAAUCAUAUUUUUAUUAAGUAUUUAGUGAUAGAUAAGCUUAAUAGAUAGUCGUAAUAUAUAUAUUAUAUAUACACAUCUCGGGUAUAAAAGAGCAAAAAUUUUGGACAGACUUCAGUUCGAAUAUUGAAAUCAACAUGAAAUUCCUGAUUGUCCUUUUUGCCUUGUUGGCCGCGGUUUUGGCUAGGCCUACAGUUCAUUCCAGUAUAUGCUAUGAUUCUCGGAUAAAUCAAUACGGAUUAUGUUGUGGAUCAUUUGGACCAUUUGGACCAGUUAUAUUUGGCACACAAAGAUUUCCUGGUCAUUUUGGCAAUGAACCCAAUUCACAAAUAAUUUUUAAUUAAUAAUGAAAAAUGAAUCAAUAAAUCCUUUUUAGUGAUUUAACUUAAA